rnacentral:rRNA from 1 species
GAUGAACGCUGGCGGCGUGCCUAAUACAUGCAAGUCGAGCGAACAGACGAGGAGCUUGCUCCUCUGACGUUAGCGGCGGACGGGUGAGUAACACGUGGAUAACCUACCUAUAAGACUGGGAUAACUUCGGGAAACCGGAGCUAAUACCGGAUAACAUGUUGAACCGCAUGGUUCAACAGUGUAAGACGGUCUUGCUGUCACUUAUAGAUGGAUCCGCGCCGCAUUAGCUAGUUGGUAAGGUAACGGCUUACCAAGGCAACGAUGCGUAGCCGACCUGAGAGGGUGAUCGGCCACACUGGAACUGAGACACGGUCCAGACUCCUACGGGAGGCAGCAGUAGGGAAUCUUCCGCAAUGGGCGAAAGCCUGACGGAGCAACGCCGCGUGAGUGAAGAAGGUCUUCGGAUCGUAAAACUCUGUUAUUAGGGAAGAACAAAUGUGUAAGUAACUAUGCACGUCUUGACGGUACCUAAUCAGAAAGCCACGGCUAACUACGUG